ensembl:snoRNA
CCCUUCUGCAUUAACAGACGUCUGCUAAAAUUGUGUGACCCAGAUAUUCUGUUUCAUGCAAUAAUGCUAGCAGACUUUAACGUGGAAGGAGAUUAUAAUGCACUGUACUGAAAAUGAGAUGUGGUCGAACCUCUUUCUUAAUGUUCGUUGGCUGCUGUCUCAAGGUGAAGUGCCACAGUU